AACGAACGCUGGCGACAUGGAUUAGGCAUGCAAGUCGAACGGGGUAGUAAUACCCAGUGGCGGAAGGGUGAGGAACGCGUGAGUAAUCUGCCUCUAAGUUGGGAAUAACAGUUGGAAACGACUGCUAAUACCGAAUGUGGCUUGGGUGUCGCAUGAUACUCUGGCUGAAGAUUUUAUCGCUUAGAGAUGAGCUCGCGUCCCAUUAGCUAGUUGGUGAGGUAACGGCUCACCAAGGCAAUGAUGGGUAGCUGGUCUGAGAGGAUGGUCAGCCACACUGGAACUGAGACACUGUCCAGACUCCUACGGGAGGCUGCAGUCGAGAAUCUUGGGCAAUGCGCGAAAGCGUGACCCAGCAAUGCCGCGUGUGUGAUGAAGGUCUUCGGAUUGUAAAACACUGUCUCCCGGGACGAAAAACUGACGGUACCGGGGAAGGAAGCCACGGCUAACUACGUGCCAGCAGCCGCCGUAAGAC
rnacentral:rRNA from 1 species